AGUGAAUGCUGGCGGUAGGCCUAACACAUGCAAGUCGAACGGCAGCACAGUAAGAGCUUGCUCUUACGGGUGGCGAGUGGCGGACGGGUGAGGAAUACAUCGGAAUCUACUUUUUCGUGGGGGAUAACGUAGGGAAACUUACGCUAAUACCGCAUACGACCUACGGGUGAAAGCAGGGGAUCUUCGGACCUUGCGCGAUUGAAUGAGCCGAUGUCGGAUUAGCUAGUUGGCGGGGUAAAGGCCCACCAAGGCGACGAUCCGUAGCUGGUCUGAGAGGAUGAUCAGCCACACUGGAACUGAGACACGGUCCAGACUCCUACGGGAGGCAGCAGUGGGGAAUAUUGGACAAUGGGCGCAAGCCUGAUCCAGCCAUACCGCGUGGGUGAAGAAGGCCUUCGGGUUGUAAAGCCCUUUUGUUGGGAAAGAAAAGCAGCAGGUUAAUACCCCGCUGUUCUGACGGUACCCAAAGAAUAAGCACCGGCUAACUUCGU
rnacentral:rRNA from 1 species